rnacentral:misc_RNA from 1 species
CUUCAGCACAGCACGACCAGGACACAGUGCUCCCUCCCCAAAGACAAACAGGCGAGCAGCAAACACACACGCUCGAACCGAGACAAGCCAAUCUAAUAAUGGGGAGGGCUCCGUGCUGCGAGAAGAUGGGGCUGAAGAAGGGGCCAUGGACGCCCGAGGAGGACAAGGUCCUGGUCGCCCAUAUCCAGAGCUUCGGCCACAGCAACUGGCGCGCGCUGCCCAAGCAAGCCGGGCUGCUGCGGUGCGGCAAGAGCUGCCGGCUCCGGUGGAUCAACUACCUGCGCCCGGACAUCAAGCGCGGCAACUUCAGCAAGGAGGAGGAGGACGCCAUCAUCAGCCUCCACGAGCAGCUCGGCAACAGGUGGUCCGCCAUCGCCGCCAGGCUGCCCGGGCGGACGGACAACGAGAUCAAGAACGUCUGGCACACGCACCUCAAGAAGCGCCUGGAUCCCACCAAGCAGGAGCAGCAGCAGCAGCACGGGACGACGCCGGCGGCUGGCGCCGGCAAGAAGCACAGGCCCGCGGCGGCGGCGAAGCGCGGGGGCGGCGGAGCCAGGAAGGCGACGGCCAACGCCGACGCCGUCGUCGUCCCGGCCCCGGCCCCGGCCACCGCUGCGCCGGCGUCUCCCGAACGGUCGGCGGCCUCGUCGUCGGUGACCGAGUCGUCCAUGACGGAGCAGGAGCAGGAGCACGGCAACACGGGGAGCUCGCCCGCGUUCCCCAAGGAGGAGAGCCUCACCACCUCCUCCUCGGACGCCGAGGAGUUCCAGUUCGACGACAGCUUCUGGUCCGAGACGCUGUCGAUGCCGCUGGACAGCCUCGACGACGUCGUCCCCAUGGAGCCCUCCGACGACGACGCGUUCGGCGACGUCGACGUGGCUGCCGCCUCCUCCUCGUCCGUCGGCGCCGACGGCGACCUGGACUACUGGCUCAGAGUGUUCAUGGAGUCCGGCGACGCGCACCCAGAACUGCCGCAGAUUUAGACCGCUCGCGCGAGAAUUUUCGGCUCCUAAUUGAUUCAUCGUUCUUUUGUCUCUAUCUCUCUCUGCACGUCUUGCAUCGGAGGGGACGGACAAGGACAGCAGCAGCUGAUUAACAGAGAAGGAAAUCAGGCAGAAACAACGCGACACGCCGUUGCAACUUGGAUCGAUCUUGUUUGCCUUCUUGUUGUAUAGAUACUAGAAUCCAUCCAAGCCUAUGCGUUCUGAGAACAGAAGCACGCUGUGCUGUGCAUGCAGAUUCCCAUGUAUGUACAGUAGCCACGGCCGCCGCCAGAACAGAAAUGGAUCCGGCCUCUUCCAAAUUCCAAUUCGUUGAGUUAAUUCAUCUAGCUCGUGCUACUCGUGUUUCGGUCGGUUACGAAAUCACGUCAUGGCGAUGCUG